UACUACGGCCAUACCACCCUGCAUAUGCCCAAUCUUGUCUGACUUUGGAAGCUGUGCAAGGUCAGGCCUGGUUAGUACUUGGAAAAGUAACAACAUUCCCAUCACCACAGGAGCUCAUCCUGCAGCAU
rnacentral:rRNA from 1 species